GUCUCCGUAGUUAAAUGGAUAUAACAGCCCCCUCCUAAGGGGCCGUUACAGGUUCGAUUCCUGUCGGGGACGCCA
rnacentral:tRNA from 1 species